AUGGCUAGGAUAGAAUAUCAAAGAACCGAGUCGGACAAGUGGACUGGCACCAUUUGUCCCACGGUACUUAGAAAACUGAAGAAAAGCAUAAAUGCCUCUGCCUAUUGUCAUGCUGCUUGGAAUGGUGAAGAUUUAUAUGAGGUGACUCAUAGAGAACAUAGGUUCCAAGUGAAUCUAGAAGAGUGGACAUGUAGUUGCAGAUAUUGGCAACUAUCUGGUCUUCCAUGCCCUCAUGCUAUAUCAUGCAUUUUUUUCAAAACCAACAACAUAGAUGAUUACAUUGACAAGUGCUAUAGCAUAGAAGCAUUCAAGAAAACUUAUGCUUUUUGCCUUCAACCUGUGGAAGGCAGACCUGCAUGGCCUGUGUCUGAGAGGCCAAGACCUAAUCCACCAGGGGAGAUUAUGAUGCCCGGUAGGAAGAAAAAGCAAAGGACUAGAGAGCAACAAGAGAAGCCAAGGUGUGCCACUAGGGUUUCUAAGAGAGGUACAAAGAUAAGAUGCAGCAUGUGCAGGCUACAUGGGCACAACAGGACAUCAUGCAAAGCAAGAAAUGGCACAGGGAGUUCAAAUAGACCAAUGCAGCAGCCUCCUGAGCAAGGCCAAGGUCCUACUAGAAGCAAAGCACCAUCAGCUGCUUCCAAACAGCCUGCUGCAAGCCAAACUGCAACAAGUAGCCAACCACCAUGUGCUAGUCAAGGGCCAGAUAUGGUACACUACCCAGGAAAUAUGUAUGAACAAACCUGA
rnacentral:rRNA from 1 species